rnacentral:rRNA from 1 species
UGGUGGGUAGUUUGACUGGGGCGGUCUCCUCCUAAAGAGUAACGGAGGAGCACGAAGGUUGGCUAAUCCUGGUCGGACAUCAGGAGGUUAGUGCAAUGGCAUAAGCCAGCUUGACUGCGAGCGUGACGGCGCGAGCAGGUGCGAAAGCAGGUCAUAGUGAUCCGGUGGUUCUGAAUGGAAGGGCCAUCGCUCAACGGAUAAAAGGUACUCCGGGGAUAACAGGCUGAUACCGCCCAAGAGUUCAUAUCGACGGCGGUGUUUGGCACCUCGAUGUCGGCUCAUCACAUCCUGGGGCUGAAGUAGGUCCCAAGGGUAUGGCUGUUCGCCAUUUAAAGUGGUACGCGAGCUGGGUUUAGAACGUCGUGAGACAGUUCGGUCCCUAUCUGCCGUGGGCGCUGGAGAACUGAGGGGGGCUGCUCCUAGUACGAGAGGACCGGAGUGGACGCAUCACUGGUGUUCGGGUUGUCAUGCCAAUGGCACUGCCCGGUAGCUAAAUGCGGAAGAGAUAAGUGCUGAAAGCAUCUAAGCACGAAACUUGCCCCGAGAUGAGUUCUCCCUGACUCCUUGAGAGUCCUGAAGGAACGUUG